GCUGUCACAGAAAUAGCAGCAGUCAGGUUGGAGCCCGACCUGUACAGCUGCUAUCACAGACAGAGAUGGAGGCUGAGAUAUGGAGACUCUGGGUGGGGGAGGGAGAGGGGAGAGAAGCAACGAGACUUCAGGUUUUUGUCUGAUGCUUUUUCACCGUGGGGACAGGGAGCCACGGUGAUACAACCCCAUAGAGCCGCUGUACAAAAACCUCCUGCCAUUAACAGCCAUUGUGUUCCUGCUACAUGCUGCCUGGAGAGCAGACACAUCCACAUCUGAAGCCCUAGAAACUGGCAGCACACGUUGGCAUGAAACACUUCAUUUAUAUGCAGGACAUAAUGUGGAAAAAGGAUUUGAAAGUGAUUUUGCAGUAAUAUGUGGAGCAUUGGGAUGCUGCUUUUACUCAUGUUGACAGAAAACACCACAUGUAGACAUUAUGAAGCUCGUCCUGCAUGUUCAAACCUUCCUCAUCCUCUGGAUUAUUACACUGAGGCUCAACAUGCCGAUUAUGGAAACUUUAGAGACGUUUUGGUCGAGGAGACAUUCAGUGUGACUCUGGAUCUGAAGCUUACUUUGGAAAGGGAACCAAACUCACAGUUUUGGAAGACGGUCUUACAUAUCACCCCACCAACAGUGCAAGUGCUUCGACCUUCAUCAAAGGAGUGUGGAAACGACGAUGCACCGAAGAAGACCAUCGUGUGUGUGGCCAGCGGAUUCUACCCAGACCACGUCAGUGUAUCCUGGCAGGUCGACGGGGAGGCCGUCACCACUGGUGUGGCCACAGACAACGCUGCCCUGCGGGAAGACGACUUUUACAAAAUCACCAGCAGGCUGAGGGUCUCCACCAAAAACUGGUUCAAUCCUGAAACAGUAUUCACCUGCACCGUCAGCUUCUACAAUGGGACACACACUGAAACGUAUUCUGACUCUCUUCAUGGGGAAGAAGGAGGAGGCAUGACGAGAGAGAAAUAUUUGAGGAGCACGCAGACUGCCAAACUCUCCUACGGUGUUCUCAUCAUCAAGAGCAGCAUCUAUGGAGCCUGUGUAGCGUUUCUGGUGUGGAAGCUGCAGAGAUCAGCUGGGAAGCAGAACCACUGAGAGCUGAGAGCUGAACAAACCACUUUAUGUUGGUGUCUGUAAAUAGGAUUUGUAGAGCAUCGUGGAUUUAUUUCUUCAGCGUGUGUCACGGCAUAUUUGCAUUCACAUAAAUGAGAAACUCAAAUUCUGCCAACAUUAGAGGAACAUUAUUCUUUUUACAAUAUUAAAGCUAUAACUGGCAUGGAAGUAAGUUUGGUAUAAAUCCUUUGACAAACACUUGGUUGUGAACUAUUUGAUGAUUUGAGUUUUCUUUAAAAUAAAAAGUAUGUCAGUGUA